rnacentral:tRNA from 6 species
GGAGGAGUGGCCGAGCGGUUGAAGGCACCGGUCUUGAAAACCGGCAAGCGCAAGCUUCGUGGGUUCGAAUCCCACCUCCUCCG